GAAAGCUUCAACUUUUCGAUUUCUCUGUCCAAACCAUUCAUACAAUCAUUAGAAAUGAAAAGGACAUACAUGCAAAAUAUUAGCUUGAGAAUAUGUAAUGUUAAUAUGAUGACCAAGCAAUCCAUUAUACGUCAAAACAAAGAAGGGAUAUCAAAGAUAAAAUUAUAUUUUAGCAAGAUAAAUUCCAUAAUCAGAACAGGUUGCUAUGUUACUUCGAUAGCAAACUUUACCCAAAUUUUAUUUACUUCACCAAAAUUUAUUUAUUUCGAUAACCAUAGUUUACAUCACCAUCUUCAAAAAUUCAAUGAGAAAAAUUAACCCAAAAAAAAGAUGUCUAAAGCACAAAAUUAUUGCUUUCAUGUGAUGAAUGUCAUGACUAUAUUGCUGACUAAAUUCACCAUUAGGGGCAAAAAUGUGAUAACUUACGUUUUAGCAGCUUGCUUUCCUUUU
rnacentral:misc_RNA from 1 species